AACUACUCAGUCUUAACGAUUUCUUGCGUGAGUUUUCAUUAGCACAACCAUGACUAAGUUAAUGCUUGUUUUCGCUCUAGUGGCUCUGUUCACAAUAACAGCUGCCAGCCCACGAGUUAACGUAGCGGAGAGUAUCACUCCAGGCCCAGUAAAUGUGGUCGGUGGACCUGACCCAGUUCAAGUGGUUGAUGGAGAGAAUCAAGUAAAUGUUGCUGACGGUCCUCAAGGGGCACAAACGAGAGACGGAGAGUAGAAAAAAUCUAAAUAUUACCCACAUUUGUGUAUGGUUAUAUCAUAAAUUAAUAUGUAAAAUAUGUUUUUGUCUAAUA